AGAGUUUGAUCCUGGCUCAGGACGAACGCUGGCGGCGUGCCUAACACAUGCAAGUCGAGCGGAGACAGUGAGUAGCUUGCUAUGAACUGUUUUAGCGGCGGACGGGUGAGUAACGCGUGAGCAACCUUUCCCAGACAGGGGAAUAACACACCGAAAGGUGUACUAAUACCGCAUAAGACCACGGGAUCACAUGGCUCUGGGGUAAAAGAAUUAUCGGUUUGGGGUGGGCUCGCGUCCGAUUAGGUAGUUGGUGAGGUAACGGCCCACCAAGCCGACGAUCGGUAGCCGACCUGAGAGGGUGAUCGGCCACAUUGGGACUGAGACACGGCCCAAACUCCUACGGGAGGCAGCAGUGGGGAAUAUUGGGCAAUGGAGGAAACUCUGACCCAGCAACGCCGCGUGGAGGAAGAAGGUUUUCGGAUCGUAAACUCCUGUCCUUGGAGACGAGUAGAAGACGGUAUCCAAGGAGGAAGCCCCGGCUAACUACGUGCCAGCAGCCGCGGUAAUACGUAGGGGGCAAGCGUUGUCCGGAAUAAUUGGGCGUAAAGGGCGCGUAGGCGGCUCGGUAAGUCUGGAGUGAAAGUCCUGCUUUUAAGGUGGGAAUUGCUUUGGAUACUGUCGGGCUUGAGUGCAGGAGAGGUUAGUGGAAUUCCCAGUGUAGCGGUGAAAUGCGUAGAGAUUGGGAGGAACACCAGUGGCGAAGGCGACUAACUGGACUGUAACUGACGCUGAGGCGCGAAAGUGUGGGGAGCAAACAGGAUUAGAUACCCUGGUAGUCCACACUGUAAACGAUGAAUGCUAGGUGUAGGGGGUAUCGACCCCUUCUGUGCCGCAGUCAACACAAUAAGCAUUCCGCCUGGGGAGUACGGCCGCAAGGUUGAAACUCAAAGGAAUUGACGGGGGCCCGCACAAGCA
rnacentral:rRNA from 1 species